ACAUUUCUUGAUGGGUCACAGGCGAUAUAUGUUUGGUGGCCAUGCAAAAACGAUUAGACCAGAUAAGAGAAGAUUGGCUCUAUUAUUUGACAACCCCAACAUAAGUUGGAAAGUAUUUAAGCAACAAGUGAAAGAGAUGCUUCGCCGCAGUGAUCAGAAGGGAAUUGAGAUGAAAAAGCCAGGUGGUUCACUCUACAAUUUUCCCAUGCCGGAUUGCAUGUGUAAACAGGCAGAAGCUAGAAACGAAAGUGUCAAUACACAAGCAUAGAAGAAACUAAGGAAGUAAGGUUUUAGUCCUCCUUAAGAAUACGAAUCUCUCAAUACCUGUAAUUUAUCUUAUAUAAUUAAGUGGUGAAAUUGAGAAAACAUUCUUUAAUUUAAGUUAGGCAAAGCUAAUAGGUUUUGAUUUCCCCUUUAUUAUUUGUCCUCUGAUUCGUAGGUGAAAAUUAACAGUUCAAAUCACAUUUCAUUGUACAUUAUGAUAAUUUAGACUGUGGACAGACUUUAAACUGACCAUCAGUAUUCAUUAUUUGGUGACAAGUGAUGUUUGGUUAAACUUGAUUUAGUGGAAGUGAAUCAUUCAGCA